rnacentral:rRNA from 1 species
UAGGGAAUCUUCCACAAUGGACGAAAGUCUGAUGGAGCAACGCCGCGUGAGUGAAGAAGGGUUUCGGCUCGUAAAACUCUGCUGUUAAAGAGAACAUAUCUGAGAGUAACUGUUCAGGUAUUGACGGUAUUUAACCAGAAAGCCACGGCUAACUACGUGCCAC